UAAUUUUUAAUUUCGGUCAUAUCUUUGGUAUUUUCUGUGAACGUUUGUAAUUUCGGACAUUAUAUGUAACAAUCCUACUAUUCAUUCCACAAUGAAGGCCAGUGGGCCUAGAUUUUUAAUUUGAUACACGUAUAAACUUAACACUGCGCAAGUUACGUCACGGAAUGCAGUAUAGGGGAGGAGAAAAUAUUUGGCUGGACCAGGAGUCGAACCUAGGAUCCCUGCAUUACUAGUCAGGUGCUCUAACCACUAAGCUAUCCAGGUCGAUAUCCAUGGUCCGUGUAGCCCUAACUACUAAAUUCCUCCCUUUAAUUUGUUUUUGCCGUCGAAGACACACAACCCAGAUUCAUUUCACCCCUGGCAGGACGAGUAGUCACGGCACCAACUGGUAAAAUCUUGCACAGAGGUCCCUAGGUUCAAUUCCCGAUCCAGCCACAAAUUUUCUCCGUGUAUGUCUAUCUGAGACUGAGUUGGAAAAUUACGGUAUCUUCAUAGUGACAAACUAAUGAAAAUAUUGAUCAAAUUCGACUGGUCAAGGACUGUUAAUAUAAAUAAAUUUGAAACAUUGGUCAUUGUAAUGAUUGGUUUCAUGUUAUACUAAGCUUGUGUUUCAAGACAAGGCUGUCUUUGUUGGUGAUGAUACUGAUGUAUAUAUUUAGAAACAAGUAAUGCUUUGAUUUUGAUUACAGGUGUGGUCUUUAAAAAAAUUAAUGCAUGGCAAGGUUGAUAGUGAGACUAAUAAAUUCUUUCAGCAGAAUUCAGCUAGACACAAAAAAAAAAGACAAUCACUACAGCCUUCCAAGAAGAUGGACUGCCUCACAAUAGUUUCCUUGAGGACUGUCUUGAAAUAUCCAGAGUUUAAGAUUCAAGAAACGGACUCUAUCUGGAAAAGGAAAACAAUAUCAAAGCUCCUCUGUGAGAAGUUGGCCAAGGAAAGCAUUCAGAAGAAAGUGGAGAUUCAUUGUUUUUACCAGAUCCAGCAGAUCACAGAAAGCAUCUAGUAGGGGAGGUUCACUUAAUAGGAAAACCUUGUUCGAGAAAAUUACAGAUUCUUGAACUGAGUAUUUUGAGGAAACAUUACAUAGAAAGUACAUGAUUUGUCAAAUUUCUCCCAAUAUUCAACUGAGAACCUUAUUCUGCAGAGUAUUUGUAUGGGUAUGGAAAAUGUGUAUGUGGCUAUGAUUUUGAUUUUUGUUUAAAUUUUUGUUGUUGAAAAUUACAGGUUUAACCGAGUCAGUUUUUGAGGAAAUAUACAUGUAUUAAAUAAAUGACGGUUUGACCUUUUAAUUCCUCUCACAGUUUUGAAGCUAGGGUCAUUGUAAAUAACUUCUUUGGUGUUUUAGAAUAUUUACAGAUUGUUGAUCAUGGUCAAUUUUGGGGAAAUAUUUUCCGCAGAGCUCUAGUUGUCUAUCUACCGGCCUCCUGUCACUUUUAAGUUUAGGAGCUUUUAUUCAUGGAAAGAAAGUAUGUGACAACCUGAUGAUGGCUGAUACUAUUUAAAGCCUUUUUAUACGCCCGUCUUAAGAUGGGACGUAUUAUGGUAUGGCGUUCAUGUCCGUCCGUCUGUUAGCUUUUUCGUGUCCGACCCGUAACUUAAAUACUACAAGGCCUAGAAUCAUCAAACUUUGUCUGUAGAUACAUCUUGGGUAGAAGGUGUGUCACACAUUAAAACCAGGUCACUGUGACUUUUCAUUAAGAAGAUAUCCGUCUGUCCGUCCGUCUGUUAGCUUUUUCGUGUCCGACCCGUAACUUAAAUACUACAAGGCCUAGAAUCAUCAAACUUUGUCUGUAGAUACAUCUUGGGUAGAAGGUGUGUCGCACAUUAAAACCAGGUCACUGUGACUUUUCAUUAGGAAGAUAUGGCCAUAUAUGGCAAAAACUUGUCCGACUCAUAACUUGAAAACUAUUAGACCUAGAAUCACCAAAAUUGGUCAACUAAUGCAUCUUAGGUAGAAGGUGUGUCGCAUCCUACUUUAAGGUCACUGUGACAUUUAAUUAAGGUGAUAUAAAAAAAUGUUUUAAUGGGUACAAUCUAUACUGUUAACAAUAUGUGACGGGCAUAUCAUGUGCCGUGGCGGUGCACUUUAUUCUAGAAAUGGCAUCAGAAAAACACCCUAUGUAACCUUUUCUGCUUGUACUCAUUUAUUUUUAUUGGAAAACUUAUUACUUGUUAUCAGCUACUCUAAAACAAUAUUGACUUGUGCUAUAAUAAAUUUGUAAACUUUA